AGAUGACUAUGGUUGAACAUGGUGGUGGUUAUAUGGAUGAAAUUCCUACUGGUCCUAUUGUUGAUGAUGACUUUGAUGACAUACUCAAUUUCUUGGAUAUGCCAAUGGAAAGUUUGGAAGGAGACGUGCUAGGUGGUGUUGAGUGGGAUGUUAGUGAGUCCAAAGGUUUUGGACCAAUCCCGACCGAAGCUCUAAUGGAUUUUCUGCCCUUGCCUCAAAGCAACAUUGGCAAUCGUCGGGUGAAUGCAGUGGCAAAUUCACAUCCUCCGAUCAAAUUUACCGAGGUCCAAGGUACCGGUACAUUCCAGACACAGAGUCCAGUUUCAGUUCUUGAAGGCAGCAAUUCCUGCUCUGGUGGAAAGAGUGUACCCAUCAAACAUGACCCUGUCAUUCCUGUACGUCCUCGCUCCAAGCGUGCGCGACCUUCAGCUGUUAAUCCAUGGGUUUUGAUGGCUCCGAUAUCUUCUACUAGAGUUGCAUCCAAGAAGAUUUCUGAUGCCAGAAAGACGAAAGAGAGGAGGAGGAGAUUGUCG
rnacentral:misc_RNA from 1 species